rnacentral:rRNA from 1 species
AGAGUUUGAUCCUGGCUCAGGAUGAACGCUAGCUACAGGCUUAACACAUGCAAGUCGAGGGGAAACGACAUCGAAAGCCUGCUUUUGAUGGGCGUCGACCGGCGCACGGGUGAGUAACGCGUAUCCAACCUGCCCACCACUUGGGGAUAACCUUGCGAAAGUAAGACUAAUACCCAAUGACGUCUCUAGAAGACAUCUGAAGGAGAUUAAAGAUUUAUCGGUGAUGGAUGGGGAUGCGUCUGAUUAGCUUGUUGGCGGGUAACGGCCACCAGGCGACGAUCAGUAGGGUCUGAGAGGAAGGUCCCCCANAUUGGAACUGAGACACGGUCCAAACUCCUACGGGAGGCA